AGAGUUUGAUCCUGGCUCAGAACGAACGCUGGCGGCAUGGUUUACGCAUGCAAGUCGAGGGAAUCCGCCGGAGGGUGGGGAACCGGCGUAAGGGGCAAUAGGGGAUGGGUACCUACCCCGGGGUUCGGAAUAGCCACCUAACAUGGUGGGUAUUACCGGAUGACCUCAUGUGAGCUGAGAUUUAUCGCCCUGGGUGGGGCCCCUGUGAUAUUAGCUAGUUGGUGAGGUAACGGCUCACCAAGGCUAAGAUGUCUAGCGGGCGUGAGAGCAAUACCCGCGCCACUCGCACUGACAACCUGGCGAGACGCCUACGGGUGGCUGCCCACAAGGAUCUUCGGGGAUGGGGGGAACCCUGACCGACCGAGGCCGCGUGCGCGAUCAAGGCCUUCCGGUUGUAAAGCGCGAGACAUGGGAGAAAAGCCCUAAAGGGUUUGAUCUAUCCUCAGUAUGCUCGGGCUAUGUUCGGGCCGACAGCCGCGGUAAAACAAACCCAGCGAACCUUGUUCCGAAUCACUGGGCUUAAACGGCGCGUACGCGGGCUGCCCAGUCUGGCUGGACAUCCCGCGGCUCAACCGUGGAACUGCCUCAGAUACUGGCGUCCUCGAGGGAGAUAGGGGCGAUCGGAUCUAAUGUGGGAGCGUAGAGAUGCGUUGAUAUCAUUAGAAACUCCCGUGGCGAAGGCAGCUCGCUGGAUCUGUUCUGACGCUGAGGUGCGAAAGCUAGGGCAGCGAAUCGAAUCAGAUACUCCUGUAGUACUAGGCCUAAACGUUGGGGUGCUAAGAUGUACGGCUAAACAUGCG
rnacentral:rRNA from 1 species